rnacentral:miRNA from 1 species
UGCAGGCGGCCUGAUGCCAUCUUUCAUCAACUUCCACUCGUUCACAUGACAAAAAACAGUGGCAGUGUUGAAAGACGUCAUCAGGUUUGUUUUACUUAAAGCUUGCA